AAUCCCCUGCAGUGUUCGUUAAGGCCAUAUAUUCCUUGAACCAAUGCUAAUUGGCAUCGGUUGCCGCCCAACGACGCCGCUGUUGUGAGCGCCCCUUAGCCGGGCGCACCUGAUGCGGCAGGAACGCAGCCACUCUGAACUCAGGUUCAGGAUGCCGGCCUGACGGCACAGGCGGGGGACCC
rnacentral:other from 1 species